rnacentral:lncRNA from 1 species
AUAAUAUAGUAUAAUUUAUUUGUAUUUUUUCUCAGAUAUUAGUAUUUCUAUUCCAGUUCUCUUUUGGUUAUUGUUUAUAUGGUGUAUCUUUUUCCCUUCUUUUGCUUUCAGACUGUUUCUGUCUUUGAAUCUACAUUUUGUCCCUUACAAAGAACAUAUAGUUCUAUGAUUUUUAAAAUCCAUUCUGCCAAUAUCUGUCUUUUAAUUGGAGUGUUUCAGUGUUAAUCUUGAGGAUCCUAUGUAUAUGAUGAGUUACUUUUUUUUGCUGUUUUUAAGAUUCUUUGUCUAUGGCUUUUGACAGUUUGAUUUUGAAGUGUCUAGGUGUGGAUAUUUUGAAUUUAUUCCACUUGGAGUUUGUUGAGCUUCGUGGAUGUGUAAAUUCAUGUUUUUAAUCAAAUCUGUUAAGUAUUGAGCCCUUAUGUCUUCAAGUACUUUUUUUCCCCCUUUCUUUUUCUUGCUUCUUUCUGGUACUUCAGUUAUGCCUAUUAACACUUGAUGGUGUCCCACACAAGUCUUUGAGGCUCUGUUCAUUUUCCUUCAUUCUUUUUCUUUCUGAGAUUGGAUAACCACAAUUGGCCUAUCUUCAAGUUUCCCAAUUCUCUCUUCUUCCUGCUCACACCUUUCCUGGUGUUCCUCUUGUGAAUUUUUCAUGUUAAUGCCAGAAUUUCUAUUUGAUUUUUAAAAAUAAAUUAUAUCUCUCUCCUUUUUUUUUUUUUUUUGAGAUGGAGUCUCGCUCUGUCACCCAGGCUGGAGUGCAGUGGUGUGAUCUUGGCUCACUGCAACCUCCAACUCCCGGGUUCAAGCAUUCUCCUGCCUCAAUCUCCCGAGUAGCUGGGAUUACAGGUGCGUGCUACCAUACCUGGAAAUUUUUGUAUUUUUUUAGUAGAGACGGGGUCUCACCAUGUUGGUAAGGCUGGUCUCGAACUCUUGACCUUGUGA